AAAUAAUAAUAAUAAUAAUGAAAAGCAUAUUUACAUGUAUAUGCAGAUCUACCAUGGUUAUAAAUGAGAUAGAUUGUCCCAGUAUAACAUAUUGCAUAAAGAAAGCACAAAAGCUCACAGGACACUGCAUUUACUACCAUCAUUCAUCAAGAGCAGAUGCCAAAACCUAUUAUAUUGAGAAAACAUGUCUAGAGACAUUGAUUACACUGCGCACAACAUGAAAGAAGUUAUUGUGUAAACCACAUUACCUUCUCUACCAUGAACAUGA
rnacentral:misc_RNA from 1 species